rnacentral:lncRNA from 1 species
UCAAACCUGAGAAGCAACUCUUUGGACCAAUAGCAAAGUGAUUUCUCAGCUGUGAACUAACAGUUUGCUUUUGGAAUGAAUCAUGUGCUUUCAAUUUUCCACUUCAAAAACACACACUUCAGCAGAAGUCACUUUACAGCAAAUGAAAGAAGAAAUUUCCCCAGGGGAGAAAGGUGUUUGUUACUUAGAGGAGGGUAGAAGGGAUGACUUAGGAGCAUCUAUUUUUCCCAACUGUGAAGUCACCAGGAGGUCUUUUUGAUAUUAUUGCCCUUCUAGCCAAUAAGGCAGUGGUUUGCAAAAUGCUAGCAAUUAAGCAGUGCUCUAAUUGGCUGAAUUGUAUCUCUCUGUCCAGAGUUCUGGGAGAGAACAUAGGCAGGGUUAGGCAUGGGAGAAUGUGUCUGACUCACAACGAAGGAAUGAAGCAUGCCGGGCCUCAUCUCGGACCUGCACACUGCCCCUCAUUAUGUUCAUGAUCGGGAAAUGGAUAAAGAGUGGCCAGAAGGUGAAAAAGAAGAGAUGGCCCCCUGAAAGGGACAUCCACAUUUAUUUGAGCACCUACCAGCAAAGUGCUGGGCACACAGAAGGACAACGUGAUGAAGCGCCAUCACAUGGCUGGUAGCCUGUGGUGAGUCACCGGACUUCUCGACUCCCACCUCACUAGGGUGGAAGGAACAGUAACCACAACGCUCUGCAACUCGGGCUGCGCCCGCAUGAUUGGAAACAAUCUGUGAAAUUGUGGAGUGAACAACCCCGAAGAAAUAGACUUCUAAUUCUAGCCUUUUGGAGAUUAUUAACCCAACUCCCAGAUUCUACAGAUGAGAAAAGGGAGGCCCAGGGAGGUGGAGAAACAUGUGUAGGAUCACAGAGAUGCCUUCAGCUCUCCAAAACAACAGAAAUGAUCAAAGAUGGAGGCAAGAAGACCAGAGAACCCUAAAUGUUUACUGUCUCCAGUGUGUUUGGAAACAGCUUGGACCAGUGUAGAGUGCUGGAACAGAGAGUCAAGAGCAUCAGGUUCGAUUCCCACCCUUACAAACUGCUCAGCCUAUGGAAAUUACUUUAUGUUUCAGGCCUCACUCUUGCCAUCUUUAAAAUGGCGACACAUGUACACACCCCUCCACAGUAAAUACAGAGGUCCUGCAAGCCAGGAUGUUAAGUACUUAGGAUGAAAAUGAUGACGAUUAAGUCUAUUCUAUCACUUGAUCUGAUUCUCUCUGACUAGUCUGCAGGGGGUAAUAACAUGGCCUGCAGAUGAUCCAUAAUCCACCAUCUUCUGGUGAAAAGAGAGGA